AGUUUGUUGUUUGUAAUGAUGUGGCUGUAGAUCCAUAUUAUUAAAGGCCUCGAUCUUUUCACGUGAGCCUGUGAAUUCAGGCUAAUAUGUGUACAUAAAUACGGUUUUAUAACAAACAAGUAUGUGUUCCUCCGCCCCUUUUUUGGAUGUAGCUGUAUGAAAUAACUUGGAUGUUACGGUAUGUUCACCUAUUGUCAUACCUGACCUACUUAACUCACCUGUGAUAUUAUCAGAAAAAAUGUACCCCAAUUGGUCCCCUUGCCUCCAAGUUUGGCACAAGGCCAUGUUUUUGUGUGGUGAACGACAAGAAAAGAUAAAAGACAAGACGAAGAAUAAAAUUGUUUUGGGGAUUAGUUUAGAAGAUGGGGUUUUAUUUAUUUUGAACAAACAAAUUUAAAGAGACAGUUAAGAUUGAAACCUGCCUACACCUGUAAGCUUAUAUAACCCUGCACCUGUAGAACUUACAAGUACACCCUGCCUGCAACUCCUGUCAUGCAUGUUACUAUUACUCUUGUCUUGUAUUUUGAAACUGGUAAUUAACGUAUUAUGUCACAUGU